rnacentral:rRNA from 1 species
GACGAACGCUGGCGGCAUGCCUAAUACAUGCAAGUCGAGCGAACAGAUGAAGUGCUUGCACUUCUGACGUUAGCGGCGAACGGGUGAGUAACACGUAAGGAAUCUACCUAUAAGCGGGGGAUAACAUUCGGAAACGGGUGCUAAUACCGCAUAAUAUCUUCUACCGCAUGGAAGAAGAUUGAAAGACGGCUCUGCUGUCACUUAUAGAUGACCUUGCGGUGCAUUGGUUAGUUGGUGGGGUAAUGGCCUACCAAGACGAUGAUGCAUAGCCGACCCGAGAGGGUGAUAGGCCACAUUGGGACUGAGACACGGCCCAAACUCCUACGGGAGGCAGCAGUAGGGGAUCUUCCGCAAUGGGCGAAAGCCUGACGGAGCAAUGCCGCGUGAGUGAAGAAGACCUUCGGGUCGUAAAACUCUGUUAUAAGAGAAGAACAAAUUGUAGAGUAACUGCUACAGUCUUGACGGUAUCUUAUCAGAAAGCCACGGCUAACUACGUGCCAGCCGCCGCCGUAA